GCCGGGCCGGCCGCCGAGAUACGGCCCGGCCACAGGAGUCGUUGCGAUGAUGCGGAGUAUACGGAGCUAUUUGUGACCGCGUCCCGUCUUCUUCGUACGGCCGCUCACCCCCCGUCCAGACCCGUGGCCUAAAUGGGGAGCCGAUGGGAUACGGACUGCGAGCUGGAUGCGCUCAGACCCGUUCCCAAAGGAGGGGACGACGGCACUAGGCUGUUACUUCAGCGGCACAGUAAAACGAUAACGUGCACUUCGGGGCAAAAAACAAAGUUAUCGUGACCCACCCUCUGCACUGAAACAAAACUCAAGGAUUCUUACGUAAAUCCAACUCCGCUUUCGAUGACACGCAUCCAUAUAAAUAGAAUCUAAUUGUAUUUCACGUAAAACGCUCGUCUUCGCACUGUAAACCAACCAUAAACACAUAAGCAAGCACAGUGCACUUGUCAGCUGCAGGCUUCCUGUAAAAAGAUGACUAAUAAGCCGACUGUUUAAUAGCAAUCAACACUGUAUUCAAAACUCUGACUUGUCUUUAAAUGAAGAAGGAAAAUGUUCUGUUUUUACAGGUUGUUAAGUAUCCUCUGUUUUACGUUUGAUGUAUUGCAGUGAUUUGAAAUAAAGAAAUUGUCAGUAUUUAUA